UACGAAGGGGGCUAGGCGUUGCUCGGAAUCACUGGGCGUAAAGGGUGCGUAGGCGGGUCUUUAAGUCAGGGGUGAAAUCCUGGAGCUCAACGUCCAGAACUGCCUUUGAUACUGAAGAUCUUGAGUUCGGGAGAGGUGAGUGGAACUGCGAGUGUAGAGGUGAAAUUCGUAGAUAUUCGCAAGAACACCAGUGGCGAAGGCGGCUCACUGGCCCGAUACUGACGCUGAGGCACGAAAGCGUGGGGAGCAAACAGG
rnacentral:rRNA from 1 species